rnacentral:lncRNA from 1 species
GGCCGCCCUGUACCCGGAACAACAAAGCGAGAAACGGAGCUCGAGCCUUGGGGGGCUCCUAGCAACGGGCCGGGGCGGGAGUUCCAUGGAGACUGGGGAGCGAACCCGUUUCAUCUUCAUCCUUGUCCUCCAGCUUCUUCUCCGCGUCCGACGCAACCAGCAGCAGCGCUGCCGCCGCGUCCUUUACGACCGCCCCGUCUUCCCACGGAUGUGAUCUUCGUGGUGGGAAACCAAGUUUCUAAACUACCCCAAUGGAUGCAGACAGUGAUGUUGCAUUGGACAUUUUAAUUACAAAUGUAGUCUGUGUUUUUAGAACAAGAUGCCAUUUGAACUUAAGGAAGAUUGCUUUGGAGGGAGCAAAUGUAAUUUAUAAGCGUGAUGUUGGGAAAGUAUUAAUGAAGCUUAGAAAACCUAGAAUUACAGCUACAAUUUGGUCCUCAGGAAAAAUUAUUUGCACUGGAGCAACGAGUGAAGAAGAAGCUAAAUUUGGUGCCAGACGUUUAGCCCGUAGUCUGCAGAAACUAGGUUUUCAGGUAAUUUUUACAGAUUUUAAGGUUGUGAAUGUUUUGGCAGUCUGUAACAUGCCCUUUGAAAUCCGUUUGCCAGAAUUCACAAAGAACAACAGACCUCAUGCCAGCUAUGAACCUGAACUUCAUCCUGCUGUGUGCUAUCGGAUAAAGUCUCUAAGAGCUACGUUACAGAUAUUUUCAACAGGAAGUAUCACGGUGACAGGUAACCUGGACUUGAUGCACACCUGUUCCGAACUGCAUCACUCGCUUCUCAUGGAUGCCGCGCUGUCUUGUGUGGGCUCACGGUCAUCCUCAUCAGGGCCCAAUGUAAAGGCUGUGGCCACAGCCGUGGAGCAGAUCUACCCAUUCGUGUUUGAAAGCAGGAAGGAGAUUUUGUAACUCAGACUUCGUUGGUUAGAGUCUCUAACUGAGCACCAUUUGAAACCUGCUGCACAUUGGACUCGAAACACAAGGAAAACUGGACCAACAGUGACUGAGGACAGAGACUCGUACUCACGGCUACAGUGUAAGCUCCAGUCUCUUUGGAUUUUACUUCAACCUUUGCUGUAAUAUAAAAAGGAAGUUUACAAGACAUGACAUUGCUGCUUUUACAAAAGGACGUUCUAUUUAUUUUCGCAGUGAUCUCAUGUCCCCACAGGCAGAGCUGUCGCAGUGUGCACUACCUUACAGUUGUUUUAUUGAUGUCAUUAUUUUUCCAGUUGGAGCUAAUGUGUUUGAUUUGUGAAUAGUCUUUUACAUUUUUGUAUGCUGAAUAUAGGCACCAAAGAACCUGUAAACGUUAUCUUUUUAAAUUGAAUGUGCACAAAUAAAAGUUUGGAAAAGAUCUCUCUUCAUAUCCAUUCUGUAACUUUAUUCACUAUUUCCUCUUUUAAACAGCUGUAUUCAUUUUUUUUUUAAAUCUAUGCAGACUUAGACAUUGGCUAACAGUGUGUGGACUUCUUUUUGAAUAAUGUGGAUGCUACAUGUAUAUAGUAUCUUUUCAUGCUCUGUUACCAGAUAUCAACUAGAAUUUUUUCCUGGCAGAUUGGAAGUAAAAACCAUGUAUAUAAGCUCUGGGUAACUAGGGUAGAACUCCAGAUAAAUGAUGUUUGUGUUACUAAUUUAAUAUGAUAGAAAAUGUUAAAUGCAUUUUAAAAGCUAAGAAGUUGUAGUUGAAGAGAGGCCUUUACCUGUCUAGGUGGACAUGUGUAACAUGUCCCAGUUUUAUUCUGGAAAGCCCAGCUGUAGGUGGAGGAAGCAGUUGAGGCUCCUGUUACCCUUAGGUUGAUGCUCAAGGCUGUACUAAAAGUCUUGUCAGAAAUUGGUUAACAUUGUGUUUUAACAAGAAAUGCCCACAAGCUGUGUCUGUGCCACUGUGUGGUUCCAGCUCGACUUGACCCUGAGAGCUGCUGGCAAGUGCGCUCGCCAUGUCUGAAUAGUGCAGGUGAAGGGCGACUGGAGGACUGAGGGAAGCCACCCUUAAACUUCCAUUCUAUGAGACAGGGCCCUCAGCCAUGCACGGACUCUGGAUGGAAAGGCAGGGUCAGGCAGGUGCUUAGUGUGGCCAGGGGUGGCUCUACCUACAGAUAAGUGAGGUGGAGUCAAAACAGAUUCUCUGUACAAACUGAACAUUUCCCACAAAGCUCUGACUUACUGUUUUACUUUUGAAAGGUUUGCAAAGGCUUGCGACAUCUGCACCAUAUUAUAAACCUUACAAAGCUAACUUAGGCACUGGCUGAACAGUGCAUAAGAUUCUACGUUCAGUUUUGUUUUCUUAAAGCUUUCUCAUACCCUGCCUCUCGGCCUCUUCAGAACGUGGGAACAAAGGCGAGCUUUUUACAUUCGCUUGUCCCAUAGUUAAUUGUGACUUUUUUAAGCCUUUGAUUUUUUUUUAAAAAUUGUUUUUAUAUUUGGGUUUGGUUUUUCUUUUUUUUCUUUUUUUUUUCUUUUUUUUUGGCUUUGUUUUAAGAUUAUCAAAAAUUCAGAGGUAGAGGCAGACUGCUUUAAAACCAUGAGAGUUUACCACUUGUUUUGACAGUGAAUUCCUGUUUUGCAAUGUUCAGAAACAUGUGUGAGGCAGAAACUCUGUUAGGGGAGGUAACAUUUUCAGCGUUCAGUGACCUGAAAGCCAGGCAGAGCUGAAGCUCUUGGGAAGUGUGCAGAGAGUAUGGCCGACCUGGGCUCACCUGCACAGGCACAGUCUGGCAGCUUUCUGCGUGGGCCACAGAACCAGCUGGGAAGGAGUGAGUGGGUCUCGAGUCGCCUGGUUUUCUACAAGUACUGUAAAAUUUUUUAUAUAAAUAAAAACUGUGAAUAUAUACAUAC